rfam:Klebsiella pneumoniae subsp. pneumoniae MGH 78578, complete sequence.
GGUUAAGCGACUAAGCGUACACGGUGGAUGCCCUGGCAGUCAGAGGCGAUGAAGGACGUGCUAAUCUGCGAAAAGCGUCGGUAAGGUGAUAUGAACCGUUAUAGCCGGCGAUGUCCGAAUGGGGAAACCCAGUGCAAUUCGUUGCACUAUCGUUAACUGAAUACAUAGGUUAACGAGGCGAACCGGGGGAACUGAAACAUCUAAGUACCCCGAGGAAAAGAAAUCAACCGAGAUUCCCCCAGUAGCGGCGAGCGAACGGGGAGCAGCCCAGAGUCUGAAUCAGCUUGUGUGUUAGUGGAACGGUCUGGAAAGUCCGACGGUACAGGGUGAUAGUCCCGUACACCAAAAUGCACAGGUUGUGAACUCGAAGAGUAGGGCGGGACACGUGGUAUCCUGUCUGAAUAUGGGGGGACCAUCCUCCAAGGCUAAAUACUCCUGACUGACCGAUAGUGAACCAGUACCGUGAGGGAAAGGCGAAAAGAACCCCGGCGAGGGGAGUGAAAAAGAACCUGAAACCGUGUACGUACAAGCAGUGGGAGCACCUUCGGGUGUGACUGCGUACCUUUUGUAUAAUGGGUCAGCGACUUAUAUUCUGUAGCAAGGUUAACCGUAUAGGGGAGCCGCAGGGAAACCGAGUCUUAACUGGGCGUUAAGUUGCAGGGUAUAGACCCGAAACCCGGUGAUCUAGCCAUGGGCAGGUUGAAGGUUGGGUAACACUAACUGGAGGACCGAACCGACUAAUGUUGAAAAAUUAGCGGAUGACUUGUGGCUGGGGGUGAAAGGCCAAUCAAACCGGGAGAUAGCUGGUUCUCCCCGAAAGCUAUUUAGGUAGCGCCUCGUGAACUCAUCUUCGGGGGUAGAGCACUGUUUCGGCUAGGGGGUCAUCCCGACUUACCAACCCGAUGCAAACUACGAAUACCGAAGAAUGUUAUCACGGGAGACACACGGCGGGUGCUAACGUCCGUCGUGAAGAGGGAAACAACCCAGACCGCCAGCUAAGGUCCCAAAGUCAUGGUUAAGUGGGAAACGAUGUGGGAAGGCACAGACAGCCAGGAUGUUGGCUUAGAAGCAGCCAUCAUUUAAAGAAAGCGUAAUAGCUCACUGGUCGAGUCGGCCUGCGCGGAAGAUGUAACGGGGCUAAACCAUGCACCGAAGCUGCGGCAGCGACACUAUGUGUUGUUGGGUAGGGGAGCGUUCUGUAAGCCUGCGAAGGUGACCUGUGAGGGUUGCUGGAGGUAUCAGAAGUGCGAAUGCUGACAUAAGUAACGAUAAAGCGGGUGAAAAGCCCGCUCGCCGGAAGACCAAGGGUUCCUGUCCAACGUUAAUCGGGGCAGGGUGAGUCGACCCCUAAGGCGAGGCCGAAAGGCGUAGUCGAUGGGAAACAGGUUAAUAUUCCUGUACUUGGUGUUACUGCGAAGGGGGGACGGAGAAGGCUAUGUUAGCCGGGCGACGGUUGUCCCGGUUUAAGCAUGUAGGCUGAUUGUCCAGGCAAAUCCGGAUAAUCAAGGCUGAGGUGUGAUGACGAGGCACUACGGUGCUGAAGUAACAAAUGCCCUGCUUCCAGGAAAAGCCUCUAAGCAUCAGGUAACAUUAAAUCGUACCCCAAACCGACACAGGUGGUCAGGUAGAGAAUACCAAGGCGCUUGAGAGAACUCGGGUGAAGGAACUAGGCAAAAUGGUGCCGUAACUUCGGGAGAAGGCACGCUGGUGUGUAGGUGAAGCCCCUGCGGGUGGAGCUGAGACCAGUCGAAGAUACCAGCUGGCUGCAACUGUUUAUUAAAAACACAGCACUGUGCAAACACGAAAGUGGACGUAUACGGUGUGACGCCUGCCCGGUGCCGGAAGGUUAAUUGAUGGGGUUAUCCGUAAGGAGAAGCUCUUGAUCGAAGCCCCGGUAAACGGCGGCCGUAACUAUAACGGUCCUAAGGUAGCGAAAUUCCUUGUCGGGUAAGUUCCGACCUGCACGAAUGGCGUAAUGAUGGCCAGGCUGUCUCCACCCGAGACUCAGUGAAAUUGAACUCGCUGUGAAGAUGCAGUGUACCCGCGGCAAGACGGAAAGACCCCGUGAACCUUUACUAUAGCUUGACACUGAACAUUGAGCCUUGAUGUGUAGGAUAGGUGGGAGGCUUUGAAGCGUGGACGCCAGUCUGCGUGGAGCCAACCUUGAAAUACCACCCUUUAAUGUUUGAUGUUCUAACGUUGGCCCCUUACCGGGGUUGCGGACAGUGUCUGGUGGGUAGUUUGACUGGGGCGGUCUCCUCCCAAAGCGUAACGGAGGAGCACGAAGGUUAGCUAAUCCUGGUCGGACAUCAGGAGGUUAGUGCAAUGGCAUAAGCUAGCUUGACUGCGAGCGUGACGGCGCGAGCAGGUGCGAAAGCAGGUCAUAGUGAUCCGGUGGUUCUGAAUGGAAGGGCCAUCGCUCAACGGAUAAAAGGUACUCCGGGGAUAACAGGCUGAUACCGCCCAAGAGUUCAUAUCGACGGCGGUGUUUGGCACCUCGAUGUCGGCUCAUCACAUCCUGGGGCUGAAGUAGGUCCCAAGGGUAUGGCUGUUCGCCAUUUAAAGUGGUACGCGAGCUGGGUUUAGAACGUCGUGAGACAGUUCGGUCCCUAUCUGCCGUGGGCGCUGGAGAAUUGAGGGGGGCUGCUCCUAGUACGAGAGGACCGGAGUGGACGCAUCACUGGUGUUCGGGUUGUCAUGCCAAUGGCACUGCCCGGUAGCUAAAUGCGGAAGAGAUAAGUGCUGAAAGCAUCUAAGCACGAAACUUGCCCCGAGAUGAGUUCUCCCUGAGACUUUAAGUCUCCUGAAGGAACGUUAAAGACGAUGACGUUGAUAGGCCGGGUGUGUAAGCGCAGCGAUGCGUUGAGCUAACCGGUACUAAUGAACCGUGAGGCUUAACCUU